rnacentral:rRNA from 1 species
GCCCUUAGAGUUUGAUCCUGGCUCAGGAUGAACGCUGGCGGCGUGCUUAACACAUGCAAGUCGAACGAGAAGCCUGGUAGUAAUAUCAGGCGGAAAGUGGCGAACGGGUGAGUAACACGUAGGUGACCUGCCCCGAAAAGGGGGAUAACUCCUCGAAAGAGGAGCUAAAACCCCGGAUGUCUAAACUGUUAGAGGGUUUAGACUAAAAUCCAGGUGUUUCGGGAGGGGCCUGCGGGCUAUCAGCUAGUUGGUGGGGUAAAGGCCUACCAAGGCGAAGACGGCUAGGGGGCGUGAGAGCGUGAUCCCCCACAAGGGAACUGAGAAACGGUCCCUACUCCUACGGGAGGCAGCAGUGAGGAAUAUUGAGCAAUGGGCGCAAGCCUGACUCAGCAACGCCGCGUGGAUGACGAAGGCCUUCGGGUUGUAAAAUCCUUUUCUGGGGGAAGAUAAUGACGGUACCCCAGGAAUAAGUUCCGGCUAACUACGUGCCAGCAGCCGCGGUAAAACGUAGGGGACAAGCGUUAUCCGGAUUUACUGGGCGUAAAGCGCCCGUAGGCGGCCUCUCAAGUUGGAUGUGAAAGCUCCUGGCUUAACUGGGAGAGGUCAUUCAAAACUGAGAGGCUAGAGGCUGGAAGAGGAGAGCGGAAUUCCCGGUGUAGUGGUGGAAUGCGUAGAGAUCGGGAGGAACACUAGUGGCGAAAGCGGCUCUCUGGUCCAGAACUGACGCUGAGGGGCGAAAGCGUGGGGAGCGAACGGGAUUAGAUACCCCGGUAGUCCACGCUGUAAACGAUGGAUACUAGGUGUAGGCGGUCAUUAACCCCGUCUGUGCCGCAGCCAACGCGUUAAGUAUCCCGCCUGGGGAGUACGGCCGCAAGGUUAAAACUCAAAGGAAUUGACGGGGGCCUGCACAAGCAGCGGAGCGUGUGGUUUAAUUCGAUGAUACGCGAGGAACCUUACCUGGGUUUGACAUAGAGGUAGUAGUGAGGUGAAAG